UGGCUUGCAGACGCUGCAGAAGCAGGA
rnacentral:piRNA from 1 species